GGGGAAUAUUGCACAAUGGGCGAAAGCCUGAUGCAGCAAUGCCGCGUGUGUGAAGAAGGCUCUAGGGUUGUAAAGCACUUUCAAUAAGGAAGAAAAGCAUAAGGUUAAUAACCUUAUGUAUUGACGUAACUUAUACAAGAAGCACCGGCUAAUUCCGUGCCAGCAGCCGCGGUAAUACGGAAGGUGCAAGCGUUAAUCGGAAUUACUGGGCGUAAAGCGCGCGUAGGCUGUUAUUUAAGUCGGAUGUGAAAUCCUCGGGCUCAACCUGGGAACUGCAUCCGAAACUGAAUAACUAGAGUAUGGGAGAGGUAAGUAGAAUUUCCGGUGUAGCGGUGAAAUGCGUAGAUAUCGGAAGGAAUACCAGUGGCGAAGGCGGCUUACUGGACCAAUACUGACGCUGAGGUGCGAAAGCGUGGGGAGCGAACAGG
rnacentral:rRNA from 1 species